rnacentral:rRNA from 1 species
ACGGGAGGCAGCAGUGAGGAAUAUUGGUCAAUGGGCGGAAGCCUGAACCAGCCAAGUCGCGUGAGGGAAGACGGUCCUAUGGAUUGUAAACCUCUUUAGCCAGGGAGCAAUAGGCGCCACGCGUGGCGCGACGAGAGUACCUGGAGAAUAAGGAUCGGCUAACUCCGUGCCAGCAGCCGCGGUAAUACGGAGGAUCCGAGCGUUAUCCGGAUUUAUUGGGUUUAAAGGGUGCGCAGGCGGCCCACUAAGUCAGUGGUCAAAUCGUGGCGCUCAACGCCAUCACGCCAUUGAUACUGGAGGGCUUGAUUACGGUCGAGGCAGGCGGAAUUCGCCGUGUAGCGGUGAAAUGCAUAGAUAUGGCGAAGAACUCCGAUUGCGUAGGCAGCUUACCAGGCCGACAAUGACGCUCAUGCACGAAAGUGCGGGGAUCGAACAGGAUUAGAUACCCUGGUA